GACUUAAUACUAUUAAAUAUUUCACCAAAUAAACUGCACCCUUUUUUCUCAUUUUUUUUUUUUAAAAAUCAUGUUGUUCGGGUCAGUUUGAACGCACCUCGACUAAUUUCACGGUAUAUCUGACGUCUCCCACCAGCAACAGGUACCAUGUAACUCUAUCCACCAAGACUUGCAUAGAUGAAAAGAAAUCACCUGAUCUAUUUUAACUCCGCGCUGGAAUUUGAAACUUAGACCUCAUGAUUCUCGCCCACUUUAUUAACCGCUCGGCCAGCCGGCCAGCCACACCCUUGAGUGCGGCAAACAAACUACACCCUCUCAUACUGUAAACCUCACAGCUACAACUUAUUAAUUGUUCCUCGUUUCAGUUUUAGCCUCCCCGACCCAUAUGAGUUAACACUCGGAUUUUCAUCAUGUAGAGCAUUCUACACCCAAAAUCAUAAAAGACUAGUUUUAAUAAAGAACAUCAGUAAGCAACUCACAAUAACUUGCAAAUAAACACCAAAAUCAGCAUAUACUAAAUAAUCAACAUUCAAGGACAAAAAUUAAUAGUUUCAAUGAACUGGAAAAGAAAGAAAGGUUAAUAUGUUGAUAUAAAUGGAUCUUUUAUAGGUGUAUAUGAACCUUAAAACUUCUGUAACUCAACGAUCGAACUGAGAAUAAAGAGCGACGACCAGAACCGGAGCUUUGACGGUAAACCUCGGAUGAUACCUCAAAUAGUAAACCUGAACAAAUCUCUUGAGUUACUUGAAGUUCUGCGACUAUUAUGAUUGAGAACACGGAAGAGAAGGCUACUAUGGUAGUUUCUGAAGGGUGGAGAAGAAAAUGUAAAAAAAUGACUGGGGUUU
rnacentral:lncRNA from 1 species